rnacentral:rRNA from 1 species
AUGGCGAGCAGCAGCACGGCCAAGCCCAUGGAAGCCCUCCCUUCCGGUUCCGGGAGCAUCCUCUCCAAUGUGGUCACCGUCCUGCUGCUCCUCUCCUUGGGCUUCGUCUUCGGCAUGGUGUACAACGCCAACUUCCAGGAAUCCUACCUCACGCCCUUCCUGCAGCCGCUGCCUUCUCUCCUACGGCCAUCGCCGACUCCGGUGGUAGCGUCCGGCUGCUGGGGACGGCGCUGCUGGACCUCGGUAACGCGCGGUUCGCUCUGCUAUCGGAGACGUGCAUCCCUCUCCUCUCCUUCCCGGCCGCCUACGCCUUCCUCAUCGGCGCCAACGCCAGCUUCAUUGACAGCUUCCCCACCCGCGCGCGGCACGCGCCCUUUUUCCUCCGCCGCAACAUAA